AUUACUCAAAAGUGUUUGAUUAUGAAUCUGCAGUAAUAUUGUCACAGGGAGUUAUGACAGUUGAACUGCAACCAUCCUCAGCUGGAAAAACAUGCGAUAAAAAAGUCAAGCUCACUCACUUACGAGUGGGUUGCUCACCUGAAAAAAGAAUAGAAGUUGCUGGAAAACCUGUUGAAUGUGAAAAUAUUACCUUUUCAAUACCUGGGU